UCAAUAGACUUGAGAAAGGAUAUCAUUCGAACCUUCCAGUAAUCAUAAUUGGAGCCAUCCAGGAUUGGUGGCCUGUUGAUCGAUCCUCCCUCCUUAUUGUCCAUGAGAUCAAGAAAAUAUCUCCCUGGAGCUCACCCACACAGAACAGGGGUGCCUGCUCUGAUGCCAAUUGAAAUUCUAGAUCCCUUAGAACAAAUGUCCUGCACGAUGCUGGGACAAUCGAUUAGAACAUCAUAUGACUGAAAAGCAUGAACACAAAAAAAA
rnacentral:lncRNA from 1 species